GUUCCCUGGGAGGGUGGGGAGGCCCUGGCACAGGGUGCCCGGAGCAGCUGUGCCAUGGAGAGGUUUCUGCUGCAUCACAAGUGUUGAAGCUCGGAUUCAAGCCUGUCACGUUUUAAGACAGCACAGGAUUGUUUUCAUGGCAAUCUGGGAUACAGGGAUAUUCUAGGUACCACCCACCCCAUGGAUGGUUACAUCAGCAGAAGAGUGCUGCAUCCUUGUGUUGUUUAACUGAUAUCUGUGUCUUCCUUUUAAUCACACUGUAAUUUCAUUUUCCCCCCUAAUUUUGGCUCUGCCAAGUUCUUCUGCUUCCCUCUGAAGCCAGGGGUCUCAGCCUUCUGUUGCUGUAGUAAGAAAACAGCAUCUGGUUUUUCCUUCUGGCUUUGAAUAUUCUGCUGGUUGUAUUGGAAGCACCUUGCUUUGGAAUCAUCUCAUCAUUCCAUUCCCCUUCACAGCCCACCUGUUCUAGAAGGUGGCAUAAAAAAGCGACAUUUUGCUUUGUCUGAACUGUUCAGAUGGUGCCAUGUGAGUAGAUAUUCCACACCUCAAACAAGAUCCCUCCCUGUAGAAAAAGUCUCCGUCAGCUUCAACAAACAUGGUGUCCUCACAUCAGUGAUGUUUAGAGAUCUGCUCCCUUCAGGGAGGGAUUCAGUGGGAAAAAGAGCUUUGGCAUACCUUAAGCAACAGAUUUUUGCACACUGGUAUUUCUUGGUGCAGUUAGCCUUGCUUUGUGUCUGCAAAAAUGAUCAACAGUGGGGUCCCAGAGUUUUUAUAGCACAAUUUUGGCUUUACUAAAAAUGAUUUUGCUGAUAUCAAACCAUCAGUACCAAGGUAAAUGUUACUGGUCUGUACCAGCAGUGUGUGCCAGCGGAGAAAUGAGAAAUGCUCCUUUAAGCUUCCACUGUCAGCUGCUUUUCUCUGCCAAACUCUGAAUUGCUCCACCUUCAAGCCCUUCUCUGUAAUUACUUCCCAUGUAAGAUUUUUUUCAUCUUCCUUGUGAAAUUUAAAAUGAACUCUAAAACUUUUAAUCUUGAUUUCUUUCACUGCCUCCCAAUGCUAGAGUCCUUUGAUACUGGGGCUCUGUGCUUCAGUCCUUUGAAAUGGCUUUGCCUCAGUAACAUGGAUUUGGAGUAAAAUAAAAUAGUUCUUUGUGUUUGAGGGCUGGCAGCCCAGCAUAAAGAUAUUUCAGAUUUUUCAGUGUAUAUUUCAACCUAUUCCUGCUGUUUCUACAAUACAAUCUGGUAAGAGCCACCAAAAAAACCCUGCUGAGCUUUAGGAUGUGAAUAUGCAGAAAAUGAGUCAGUUCUACCACAGUGUCAGCAAACAGCUUCAUCUUGACUGUGAACAGUUUUGUCCAGGGCCAGAGUUCUGGGAAUCAGGCUGAUCUGCAUUGCUGGGGAAGAUUCCUGCUGCUCUCCAGUGAUUUCCAAGCGCAGUCAAGCUCUGCAGGCACUCCCAGCCCCCACAGUGCCACGUAGGAGCUCCUCCAGCGGUGGGAUGGGGACUGGGAAGGGGGAGCCAAACUGGGAGUUGCCGUCUUCCGUCUUCCCUGCUCUGUAAUGAGCGGUUCCAGCUGCCAAAGGGACACAUCCACUCCUCCAGCCCAGCUCCUCCCCUCCAAACCGCACUUGCGCAGGGCAAAACCCGAGUUUCUUUUGUCUGGAGUUAUUUCCAGCAUGGGUUGACUCCGUGGGUUUAGGGCAGUGCAGAUCCACUGAGCCUUAAAUUAAAAGCCACCCAAAGUUUUUGUGAGAUGGGUGUGAUCCUACAGCCCCCACGACAGAGCAGAGGGAGAUUUCCAGGCUGUUGUUGCAGAGCUUGGGACAGGUGUGGAGAAGCUGCUGGGAUGGAAAGCAGUGAAAUCCAACUGUACCCAGAGUCCAGUUCUGUGGGAAACAAUCCAUGCUCAGCCAUGAAACAUCCAGGUGUGGUGGAGGAGGAAAAGGAAGAGGAGAAGACCUGAUUGCCAUGGAGGCAGCAAAUUCCCCAUCCGUGGCAUCACCCAGCCUGUGGGAGCACAAUCGAUGCCAUUCUCCAGUGUGGAUGCCCGAAUUGUGCUUCCCACUCUGAGAAGAGAUCCAGGAGCUGCCUCUCUGCGCCUCCAGGCAGCACAGUCCAAGCUCCUGGCCCAGCACUCAGCACACUGAACAUCUCCUGCAUGUCCCUGGAUCUGUCAGGCUGUUCCCAAUGCUGGAGGAGGCAUCAGAGCUGCUGAAUUUGGCUUUGCAUAGAAGAAUACUUGGAUCUGCUGGAGGCAAGUUCAUCAAAUGCGGGAUGCAUAAUGAAUCCACUCUGGGCUCUGUCACUGAUUCACCACGUGCUGUGAAUCCAGCAAUUCACCACUGCCUGAAGCCUUCCUGACUUCCCUGGCAUUUGCAGGAAGGUCCAUGGUCACCCCUUGGAAGCAGCUUUCCAAGAUCUCAUUCCAGGUUCUGCACCUUGAGAAAUUGAGCUGUGCCCCUGAGGCUACCCUGGACCUACUAAAUCCCACAGGGUUGGACCCCUUUCUGUGGAUUGGAGGUCUCUGGGAGAACCAUCCACCUCAUCUCUGGCAAGCAGAUCCAGGUUCCUCCACAGUUUUCCAGCAGGAUUUGCAGUGGGUGGUCACAGACUCGAGAGCUUGGCAGCUUUCUCAGUGGUGCUGUUUGCUGCAGAAACCACAUAUUUUUAUCCUUGUAUGGAAUCAUCACGUCCUGAUGAAAUCCAGCAUUUGUGCAGCCAGGAUAACUUUGCAAGUGCCACCACCCUUUGCAGCUGCCAAGACACCAGCCCUGGCUUUCCCCAUCCUCUUCCUCAGCUCUUCAAAUGCUUCUUCCUAAACCAGUCCUGAGCCAGCAGAGCUCGUCCUGGAGGACAGCUCCUAAUCCAUUUUUCCCAUACUGGGCAUCAGCUCCCACACCAGGAUCACCUUAUCUCUGUAGAUCCCUGUCCAGAGGGUCCUUGGCUGCCCCAGCUUGCCCUGCCUGCCCCACCCUGCUGAUGCAUCUGCAGUCCUCCCUGCUGUGUCCCAGAGGCACAGGGGAGGCCGAGUGGAGCCCUUCCCUUCUCCCACCACCCUGUCUUGGAGCUCGUGGGAAGCUCAGUGCUCCUGGGAGGUUGGGAUGAGUCAGUGUUUGCAUGUCCUGAGUCACUCCAGGGAGUUGCCAGGGAGGAGGGGGGGUGCCCAUCCUCAUCUGGGGGUGUACACAUCCCAGGAGGAUCUGUCUGAAAGAAAAUUCCUAUUGACAGGUCAGCACCUUUAGGGUUGCUUCCAGCAGGGCCAGCACCACGGACCAGAAGUGUCACUCCAUGAGAAAAAGGUAUUUCCUGACCCUCCUUCCAUGUGAAUCCUUUCAGAUGGCCCCCAGCUGAUCAUCUGGAGGGGUGCCACAUCCCCAACCCAUGGCUGUCCUUGGAAACUUCCUGAGAUAUGCCAAGGGGUUCCUCUUGGCAGCUCCAUCACGGCAAGUUUGGGGAACCAUGGUAUCCAACAUGCCAUGGAGGAAUGCCAGACAAGCCUCAAAGCGGGGCUCUUGGGAUGUCUUUUGAGUAUAAUUAAUUCCCAGUCCUCCUACUGACUGUGGUUUUUAUCACCAUUUUUGGGGUUUUUUUGAGCUAGAAAUGCUCCUGAGCUCAUGUGAUGGCUCAGGAGUCCACCCCUGGUGCUCAAAGCAGAUUUCAGAUUCAAAGGGGAGAGUGGACACCCUUGGUGACACCCCCACAGACACCUGGAUGUCCUCUGCCCCUUGAUGAACGGCCCAGAGGACACCAGAGGGUACUUCAAAUACACACCCAAGCUUUAGAUUUUCACCUCCAUUUCCAGCUUGAAUGGAAUAAAUUCCCAGGUCAAGAAGAGCUGGAAGAACCACCCCAGGAUUUUUUGUUCUCUGAGUCCCUGCCUUUAACAUGAAGUCAAUUUUCUGUGCUUGCUCAGAGCAGAGGCUGAGCAGGGAGUGAGGCCAGAAAAACGGGGGGUCAUGUCAGACUUUCUUUUUUUCUCCUCUUAACACUGCAAUAAAAAUACAUCCCAAGCUUGUUUUGGGAUUAACAAGAAAAAAUUCCUCUUGAUGGGAACCAUCUGUGGCCAGGAGAUGCCGGCUGCUCUCUGCGUCCCACCCUCACACAGAUGCUGUCAUUUGGGGUGUGUUCCUCUCCCAAAUAUUAUUCCUCUCACCCCUGUGCUGGUGGGAGGAAUCCCAACGAUUUAAGGAGGCUUUUCUCCCAGCAUUUCAAGGCAGCAGCAGCUCCUGACACCUAUGUAGGAUAAUAUUUGCUCUCCUCAUUACAGCCCCAGUGCCUGGCACAGCUUGCUGGUGGCUGCUGGGCUCGGAGGGUAAACACUGCAAGUGUCUUUGUUGUGACCUUUCCACCCCAGAUGUCACUGCAGGGUCAAAGCAAACAUCUCGAAGCCUCUUCCACCUGUCCCACAAACCAGGAGGGGAAAUCUGCCCCAAGGAGUGGAGAUUCCCUGGCUGUGCCUCUGCUGUGCUGCUGGAAAUGAGGGGUUUGGUGCUGGUCCCUUUGUGGUGUCGAAGAAUGAGGUGAUUUCUGGGGUGGCCCCUGGCCCCAGCUGAGGUUUGGGGUGUGAAAUGCAACUUCCAGGCUGGCUUGGCAACAGGAAGAUGAAGAGGAGCAUUUGCAGCACCAGAAACUCCAGAGAGAUGCGGAGCAGGGAGAAGCCUCCAAGGCCAGGAAGAGGAGAGGAAGCUCAAGGUGGAGCCAACAGAAGACAGGGCAGGUCUGGCCCUGGGAGGAAAGGCUGGAAGUGUUUCCAUGCAGCUGAGGAGGCUGCCUGGCUGAAAUGCCUCCUCCUGGGAUCAGCUCCUGGCAGGUUGAGCAGGAAGCUGGGAGAAGACGAGCCCAACAGGUUCUGGGCUGUGGAGCCUCCUGGAUGGCAGCACAUCCCUGGCCUGGGAUCCACCCUGUGCCCGAGAGCUGAGCUGAAAUGGGCCCAAACGAGCGCUUUGGAGGCUUUCCCAAGCCUGGUGGGAAGAAGGGUUUUUGUGUGGGCCUUGACAUCUUCAGAGUGAUCCAGGCCUGACUUGGGAGGUGGUUUGGAUUCAUUUGGACAAAGGAUGGCAGGACAUUUAGGCCUUGCUUACCCUGCCCUCCUGCUUGUCCCUCAGGGUGGGGACACCCCAGUUCUUGUACUCCACCAGGACUGAGUUAAUCCUCGCCUCUCUGCAGGAGCCCAGCAGGAGCUGGGUGGAGUGAAGGAUGCUGCUCCCUCCUUCCCACCAGUGCCACCAGUGGACUUCACACUCCAGCAGAUGAAGGCACAAUGCUUUCCAUCUUUGAGGCUGGCAAAAUCCAUCCCCCAGACUUGGGCUUGUCCCUGCAGCGGGGGUGCAGCCCACGCUCCCAUCCCAGGAAUGUGGGAUGUUCUGGGGCUGCUCUGCCCAGCCCUGCUCUGCCCACGGGCUGGGAACAGUCCUGGCUGCUCUCAGAAUAUUCCACGAAUCUGUGAGUCUGUGGCUACUUUAAGGUGCUCACCCAAGUGCUGGUGCUCUGCCAGGAGGACUCAUCUUUCCAUGAUCUUUUAUUAAAUCCCUCCUGGGCCAAAUAUACCCCAAAAUGCCACUCUGGCUCUAACAGAGAAGGGUGUUCGUGCACAGUUACUGAUGCUUGGAAAGCUGAAUGCAGGUGCUGUGUCUCACCCAUCAAAAAGCAAUUUACAGAUUACAUUUAUAUAAAAUUAUAUAAAUGGCUGGAACAGCAUAGUGUAGAACAACAUUAUAUUGUAACAGGCAGAAAAUUCCCUGUUGUUUUAUUAGAAAUAGAGGGAAAUGGAUUCACAUAACAUUUUCCAGGGAGGUUUGAAACUCGGGGGGGUUUAAUUUCAGCAGUGUUUGCAUACACACGCUCCAGCCCAGGCAGGCUGAGCUGAGGCUGGGAGGGGUUUUUCACCCCAGGGAAAGCCCCUGUGACAGGGUCACUGAGCAGGGCCCUUCAAACCCUGCAUCUCCACCCCAGAAAACUCCAGGAUAGGAAGGAUCAGAAAACUGAUCUUCCCCUUGGCCUGGCUGAAUAACACAGGCUUUGUUCGGGGAUCCAGGUCAGGGAUUUUAUUUCAGUACCUGCAAAGGAGUUAUGAGAAGAAUGCAGCAGGUUCCUCCUGGCCUGGAGAAAUGCAGAGAUAUCUCCAAAGGUGUUUAACAUUAACUGGAGCAGGGCACAUCUCUGAAGGGUUUGACUGUGAGCCUAUCUGUGUUUGUAUCCAAACACCACCUCCAAAUCCACGCUAACGUUAGCAGAGCUGGAGCAGGUGAAAGUCCUCCUGGAGGGAGCCGGAUCGAUGACGGGUUUGUCAAUAAAGAUCAUCCCGAGCUGG